rnacentral:misc_RNA from 1 species
UACAGGGGGUGCUAGCGUUGUUCGGAAUUACUGGGCGUAAAGGGUGCGUAGGCGGUUUCGCAAGUCAGGGGUGAAAUACCGGAGCUUAACUCCGGAAUUGCUUCUGAUACUGCGAGGCUAGAGUGUAUUAGAGGAUGGCGGAAUUCCUAGUGUGGAAGUGAAAUUCGUAGAUAUUAGGAAGAACACCGGUGGCGAAGGCGGCCAUCUGGGAUACAACUGACGCUGAGGCGCGAAAGCGUGGGGAUCAAACAGG